rnacentral:tmRNA from 1 species
GGGGAUGCUUGGAUUCGACGGGGAGGGCUGUUUCAGAGUUGCAAGCAGCGGCGCACGACCGCUCUAAAACGGGCAAAACUUAGAUGCGAACACUCGCACCAACCUCCAGGCUCUUCCAGUCGCGGCGUAAGCCAACACGAGAUUAGCUGAAAGGUUCGCAGACUAGCUCUGCGACGUCCACGCACGGUCUCCCCCAAGGGCUGGGCGCUGGGCGACACCAAGUUGGGGUGCGAUAAUCGCAACGCCGGUAGCGAUUAUCAAAGAGGCGCAAGCCAUCACACGGCUGUGCGUGAUCAACUCCGUUGAUUGAGCCGGAUCACGCGAGACUCAAAAAUCGACUAAGCUUGUAGUAACUCUGAGGCGAACUUUUCGGACGCGGGUUCAAUUCCCGCCAUCUCCACCA